rnacentral:rRNA from 1 species
GACGAACGCUGGCGGCGUGCCUAAUACAUGCAAGUUGAGCGCUGAAGGUUGGUACUUGUACCAACUGGAUGAGCAGCGAACGGGUGAGUAACGCGUGGGGAAUCUGCCUUUGAGCGGGGGACAACAUUUGGAAACGAAUGCUAAUACCGCAUAAAAACUUUAAACACAAGUUUUAAGUUUGAAAGAUGCAAUUGCAUCACUCAAAGAUGAUCCCGCGUUGUAUUAGCUAGUUGGUGAGGUAAAGGCUCACCAAGGCGAGGAUACAUAGCCGACCUGAGCGGGUGAUCGGCCACAUUGGGACGGAGACACGGCCCAAACUCCUACGGGAGGCAGCCGUAGGGAAUCUUCGGCAAUGGACGAAAGACUGACCGAGCAACGCCGCGUGAGUGAAGAAGGUUGUCGGAUCGUAAAACUCUGUUGGUAGAGAAGAACGUUGGUGAGAGUGGAAAGCUCAUCAAGUGACGGUAACUACCCAGAAAGGGACGGCUAACUACGUG